rnacentral:rRNA from 1 species
GACAGAGGCCCCGAGCGUUAGGCGGAAUCACUGGGCUUAAAGCGUGUGUAGGCGGACGCCUAAGUGUCUUGUGAAAUCCCACGGCUCAACCGUGGAACUGCUUGGCAUACUGGCGGUCUUGAGCAACCUAGGGGCGAGCGGAACAAAUGGUGGAGCGGUGAAAUGCGUAGAUAUCAUUUGGAACGCCAAUGGUGAAAACAGCUCGCUGGGGGUUUGCUGACGCUGAGACACGAAAGCCAGGGGAGCAAACGGGG